AGAGUUUGAUCAUGGCUCAGGAUGAACGCUAGCGGCAGGCCUAACACAUGCAAGUCGAGGGGCAGCGCGGGGUAGCAAUACCCUGGCGGCGACCGGCGCACGGGUGCGUAACGCGUAUACAACCUACCCUAAACAGGGGGAUAACGGGGGGAAACCUCCACUAAUACCCCAUAUUGUCGAGCCAUCGCCUGGUGGUUCGUCGAAAGCUUCGGCGGUUCUGGAUGGGUAUGCGUGGCAUUAGGUAGUUGGCGGGGCAACGGCCCACCAAGCCCACGAUGCCUAGGGGAGCUGAGAGGCUAAUCCCCCACACUGGUACUGAGACACGGACCAGACUCCUACGGGAGGCAGCAGUGAGGAAUAUUGGUCAAUGGAGGGAACUCUGAACCAGCCAUGCCGCGUGAGGGAAGAAGGCCCUAUGGGUUGUAAACCUCUUUUGACGGGGGUCAAUAAGGGUGCUGCGGCAUCCGAUGAGCGUACUCGUCGAAUAAGCAUCGGCUAACUCCGUGCCAGCAGCCGCGGUAAUACGGAGGAUGCAAGCGUUAUCCGGAUUUAUUGGGUUUAAAGGGUGCGCAGGCGGCGCGCUAAGUCAGCGGUGAAAUGUCUCGGCUCAACUCGGGAGCUGCUCGUUGAUACUGGCGUGCUAGAGUGUGAACGGCGCUCGCGGAAUGUGUGAUGUAGCGGUGAMAUGCAUAGAUAUCACACAGAACACCUGAUCGCGAAGGCAGCCGGCGAGGACACUACUGACGCUCAGGCACGAAAGCGUGGGGAUCAAACAGGGAUUAGAUACYCUGGUAGUYCACGCAGUAAACGAUGAGGACUUGUUGUCGGCGAUACAUUGUCGGUGACAAAGCGAAAGCGAUAAGUCCUCCACCUGGGGAGUACGAUCGCAAGGUUGAAACUCAAAGGAAUUGACGGGGGCCCGCACAAGCGGAGGAGCAUGUGGUUUAAUUCGAUGAUACGCGAGGAACCUUACCUGGACCCAAAUGUUGUUGGACCGCCCCAGAGAUGGGGUUUCCCUUCGGGGCCGACAGCACGGUGCUGCAUGGUUGUCGUCAGCUCGUGCCGUGAGGUGUCAGGUUAAGUCCUAUAACGAGCGCAACCCCUACGUCCAGUUGCCAGCGGGUAAGGCCGGGGACUCUGGAGGGACUGCUCGUUCACACGAGAGGAAGGUGGGGAUGACGUCAAGUCAGUAUGGCCCUUACGCCUGGGGCCGCACACGUGCUACAAUGGCCGGUACAGAGGGACGCGAGACCGCGAGGUGGAGCAAACCCCAGAGAGCCGGCCCCAGUUCGGAUUGGAGUCUGCAACCCGACUCCAUGAAGUUGGAUUUGCUAGUAACGGCGCAUCAGCAGUUGGUGCCGUGAAUACGUUCCCGGGCCUUGUACACACCGCCCGUCACAUCAUGAAAGCCGUCUGCACCCGAAGCCGGUGGCCCAUCCGCAAGGGGGGAGCCGUCUAAGGUGUGGGUGGUGAUUGGGAUGAAGUCGUAACAAGGUAGCCGUA
rnacentral:rRNA from 1 species